AUUGAACGCUGGCGGCAGGCCUAACACAUGCAAGUCGAGCGAGCGGCGGACGGGUGAGUAAUGUAUGGGGAUCUGCCCGAUAGAGGGGGAUCACUACUGGAAACGGUAGCUAAUACCGCAUACUAUCGGAUGACCCCAUAUGGUAUUAGCUAGUUGGUGAGGUAAUGGCUCACCUAGGCGACGAUCCCUAGCUGGUCUGAGAGGAUGAUCAGCCACACUGGGACUGAGACACGGCCCAGACUCCUACGGGAGGCAGCAGUGGGGAAUAUUGCACAAUGGGCGAAAGCCUGAUGCAGCCAUGCCGCGUGUAUGAAGAAGGCCUUCGGGUUGUAAAGUACUGUUAGUGGGGAGGCGUUACCCGCAGAAUAAGCACCGGCUAACUACGUGCCAGCAGCCGCGGUAAUAC
rnacentral:rRNA from 1 species